AAGUCGUAACAAGGUAACCGUAGGUGAACCUGCGGUUGGAUCAUUACUAAAUGAUACUCUUUUUAUACUGCAUAGGAUCGUAAAAAAGUCCUAUGUAGUGUAAAAAACACCAUGUGAACCUUUUUCUGUAUUUUGUCUUUGCUGAUGUUCGGUGUGUAAGUCUCGGCUUAUGCAUACGGUCGGCAAUGGCAAACAUAUAUAAACACUUGUUUAUUUAUGCAGUCUUAAAUACUUUUCUAAAUGAAAAAACAACUUUUGACAACGGAUCUCUAGGCUCUC
rnacentral:misc_RNA from 1 species